CAUGCGCAUAAAAAACACAAAGAACAAAGUUGAGAGAAAAAGAAAUUUUCAAGUGAAAAUGGCUAGAAAAGAAGCUUUGGUUUUUGCUUUCUCAUGCCUCAUACUCGUGGCAUCUGUGAUAUCCAGAACUAUUCCAGAAGCAAAUACCAAUAAUACAGAUGCUACACCAACGAAUAAGCAUGCCAAAUUUCAUGAUAACAGUAAUAAAAUUGAUGGUAAAGUUCGGAACUGUUGCUUGGUAAUUCCGUUCUAUCCCGGUUGCUAUUUAUGGUGCAAACCGAAGCACACGUAGUUGCCGUACAACCGCAUGGAGUAUACUACCAUGCACUAUGCAGGAUUUGAAUAAUAUGUGUCCCCCAUCUUAAUAUCGUGCUGUUGUAAUAAAUUAACGUGAAACAAAUAUCAUGCAUGAAUAUCUAUUAGAACUUAAGUCUUAUUGUUUUCUAAGUGAUAUCUUAAUAUAGUUAUUUUGGUAA